UACGGAGGAUGCAAGCGUUAUCCGGAAUGAUUGGGCGUAAAGCGUCCGCAGGUGGCUAUGUAAGUCUGCUGUUAAAGAGUGAGGCUCAACCUCAUAAGAGCAGUGGAAACUACAUGGCUAGAGUGCGUUCGGGGCAGAGGGAAUUCCUGGUGUAGCGGUGAAAUGCGUAGAUAUCAGGAAGAACACCGGUGGCGAAAGCGCUCUGCUAGGCCGCAACUGACACUCAUGGACGAAAGCUAGGGGAGCGAAUGGG
rnacentral:rRNA from 1 species